UGUUAUAUAGCUUUUGGUCUUCAUCUGGGUUUUUGUUUUUACUGUGGGGUAGGUGGUCUGCUUUUGUUCUUUCUUAUCAGGCUAUAGCGUACAAUUUUUCUUGCCUAAAAAAAUUGCAUGUAAUAAAAAUUUUAAGCAUUAGCAUUCUUGAAAUCCUUUGUUUGAGCAAAAAUUGGUAUUUUAAGAAGCUUGAUGAUACAAUUCAGGGAAACUUGAGAUAUAAUUAAAUUUGUUCAUUUCACGGAUGCCCACUGUUGUUUUUUUUUUUUUCCCAAUGAAAAGAUUCAAAGAAAAAGUCUCUCUACAUCGUAGAUUUAUCAUCAUAUGCACUAGUUUUAUGAGUUUAGAAUGCACUACUUUUUGUCUCCUUAUUUGGUGAUUAUGUUGUAUUGUCUGGAUGAAUCUUGUGUUGUUGACAUUGGAUUUUUCUUUUUAAUUGUUUGCAGGGUGUAGCAAUAAAUUUUGUCAAAAACGAUGAUAUCAAGAUUCUUAGAGAUAUCGAGCAAUAUUACAGUACCCAGAUUGAUGAAAUGCCGAUGAAUGUUGCUGAUCUGAUAUAAGAGAUGUUUGUGAUCUCGUCUGCCAGAGUGGAGGUUAUGGGAUUGAUCAAUGAAAGGUUGAAGACAAUUGUGUGAUUGACAGUUUCUGCAAGUGUGACAUUGUCUUUUUUUUUUGUGAGGAGUUUGUAUAAUACAGGAUGUUCUCAUAUUUUCUGUAUGGUAUUGAUGACAAGAAAAGAGAAGAGAGUAGGCAUUAACAUUUGUGAUAAGAUUCUAGUGAUUGCCUUUUGCACCUUGACGUGAUUUUAAGGGUGGCGAUUUGUUCACUGUUGAAUUCAAGUUAUUUUAACCUUUUUUGAAAGAUUUUAACCCUUUUUGAAAGAUUGUAAACACUCUGGAAUAUUGCUCUUUCUUUCUCAUCUCUCUUCUUCAGUUGUCUCACUUGUAUAGGUAAGCUGUGCGAGCACCUUCAUUAUUUUGUGUUCAGCUUUUCGUAUCCUGCAUCUGCAGUCCGCUGAGGACUCGAUUGCAGAUGGUUAGUUUAUUACCAUACCUGACCCUCGUUGCUGGCUUGCUGCUUCGAAAACUCAUCAACCGUAGGAUUCAAAUGGACAAAACUAGAAAAAUAGAAUAAUGACCCUUCGAAAAAAUACAUCAACAGUGUUGGCUCUAGUUGUUUGCAUUAGUGACUUGACAGUUCUCAAAUGAUUUCAAG
rnacentral:lncRNA from 1 species